rnacentral:siRNA from 1 species
AUAAUAUCGAGAUGAUGGCGAGUU